GAUGAACGCUAGCGGCAGGCCUAAUACAUGCAAGUCGAACGGUGUAGCAAUACACAGUGGCGCACGGGUGCGUAACACGUAUGCAACCUACCUUACAUUGGGGGAUAGCCUUUCGAAAGGGAGAUUAAUACCGCAUAAGACAGUAACUAGGCAUCUAGUAGCUGUUAAAGAUUUAUCGAUGUAAGCUGGGCAUGCGUCCAAUUAGUUAGUUGGCGAGGUAAUGGCUCACCAAGACGAUGAUUGGUAGGGGAACUGAGAGGUCAAUCCCCCACACUGGCACUGAGAUACGGGCCAGACUCCUACGGGAGGCAGCAGUAGGGAAUAUUGGGCAAUGGGCGCAAGCCUUACCCAGCCAUGCCGCGUGCAGGAAGAAGGCGUUAUGCGUUGUAAACUGCUUUUAUACAGGAAGAAACGACCCUUGCGAGGGGCAUUGACGGUACUGUAUGAAUAAGCACCGGCUAACUCCGUGCCAGCCGCCGCUGUAAGAC
rnacentral:rRNA from 1 species